CAGAGCCUGAAGGAGAAAGGGGUGGGAAGGGCUCCCCGGGCCUCCUGCUGAACUGAAGCAAUCCUGCAUCCUACCAAAGCAACCAACUGCAUAGAAGACGCUUUCUGGUGAUGAUGAUGAUGAUGAUGAUGAUGUGGUGAUCCAGGUGACAGGGGCACCAGAGGAGCAUCAGGCUGCAGGUGCCAGACAGGCACAGCGUCCCCCAACAGCCCUCAAGAGGCCUUCAGCUAUGAAAAUAAUACAGUGAC